rnacentral:rRNA from 1 species
AUCGAACGCUGGCGGCAGGCCUAACACAUGCAAGUCGAGCGAGCGGCGGACGGGUGAGUAAUGUAUGGGGACUGCCCGCUAGCGGGGGCUAACUACUGGAAACGGUAGCUAAUACCGCCUACUAUCGGCUAACCCAUAUGGGAUUAGCUAGUUGGUGAGGUAAUGACUCACCAUGGCGACGAUCCCUAUCUGGUCUGCGAGGAUGAUCAGCCACACUGGGACAGAGAAACGGCCCAGACUCCUACGGAGGCAGAGUUGGGGAAUAUUGGACAAUGGGGGAAAGCCUGAUGCAGCCAUGCCGCGUGGAUGAAGAAGGCCCUAGGGUUGUAAGGUACUUUCGGUCGGGAGGCGUUACCGACAGAAGAAGCAACGGCGAACUCCGUGCCAACAGCCGCGGUAAUAC